rnacentral:sRNA from 1 species
ACUCAACACGAUUUUAUUCAAAAAGGUGAGUCUUAUAUGUUAAAGCGUGCCGUCUUAGAACGGAUACUUGAUCAUAUAGUUAGCCUUAAACUUGUUUGAAUGGAGUUU